AUAAUGUGUUAAACAAUGGAUCAUUUGAUGAAUACAGAUAUUUCAAACACCAAGUCAGAUCAUUAAAGUUCAUACAGAAAGACCUGAUUGAUUAUAGAAAUUGCCCUCUUUGCCCACAAACUGGUGAGUUAGGUGUGGCCAUUCAUUCCAUGGAUGCUUGCUUUGGUCUAACUC